AUUUUUGACUGCAUUCAAAACAGCUGUUCAAUAAUGUAAACAAAAUGGUAACCUCUAAAUUUGAUGGUUAACUUCAUAGAAUUUAUAAAUUAUUCGCAAUGAAUCACAAUUUUCAAUAAAUAAUUCCUUCAAAAUAUGCUAUAUAGAACGGGUGCUCUUAUCUCAGUCUCAGCUGUUGAUUAGUGAGUUUUAUCGCUCAGCAGUUGAAUGUUGAUUUUUAAAAUGGAUGUUUAAGUGAUGAGAGUGAGGAUUGAAGGAUUAUGUAAUGCUUCUUUUGUGGGAAAAGUGAUCAAUAAUGCAGAAAGACAGACACAACUCAGGUGCGGCUUGAUGCGAAUCUAACAAAUGAAAAUCACACGGAACAAGAAAUGCAAACUGGAUUAUGACAAUCUCUGGAUUCAAGCAAUUUUUAUUCUACAUUUGAAAACAUUUGGUUGGAACCAACCAUGCUCUAGUGACGGAAUUGAGGAUGGCAGUGUUAUCAUUGUUGUUUUAUGAAGAAAUACAAUCAGUAUGUAUGACAGUACUAGAUACUACAAUUUCAAUGAAUUGAUACGAGUUCCAAAUUAUUAGAUACUGUAACUGGAUCUAGUAUUUAUCAAUGGAAAAUAUUAGUCGAACUAGAUAACUAGUAGUUAGUUCUGUGAACAGUGGAACUCACGCAGUAUUCUCAUCCACAAGUACCUGAUUGAAACUAUAGACCUUAUAGAAAACAGCAAUAGACAGCUUCUCCACACAUAUGUGUAAUCACGUAAUCAUUGGUGAAUAAUUAUAUAGUCUGAUUUUUACUCUAAUAUUAGCGUAUGAAGGAGGCUCCUUUUCCCCUUUAUAUUAUCCUUGAAAUGCAAAAUUCCCAAAAACCUUGUAUAUACGUCGACGCGCAAUUGAAAAAGGAACAUACCCGUCAAAUUCCAUGGGAAUCUAUUUCCGCGCUUCGCCGU